rnacentral:rRNA from 1 species
AGUCGAACGGCAGCAUGAUCUAGCUUGCUAGAUUGAUGGCGAGUGGCGAACGGGUGAGUAAUACAUCGGAACGUGCCCUGUAGUGGGGGAUAACUAGUCGAAAGAUUAGCUAAUACCGCAUACGACCUGAGGGUGAAAGUGGGGGACCGCAAGGCCUCAUGCUAUAGGAGCGGCCGAUGUCUGAUUAGCUAGUUGGUGGGGUAAAGGCCCACCAAGGCGACGAUCAGUAGCUGGUCUGAGAGGACGAUCAGCCACACUGGGACUGAGACACGGCCCAGACUCCUACGGGAGGCAGCAGUGGGGAAUUUUGGACAAUGGGGGCAACCCUGAUCCAGCAAUGCCGCGUGUGUGAAGAAGGCCUUCGGGUUGUAAAGCACUUUUGUCCGGAAAGAAAUCGCACUUACUAAUAUUAGGUGUGGAUGACGGUACCGGAAGAAUAAGGACCGGCUAACUACGUGCCAGCAGCCGCGGUAAUACGUAGGGUCCAAGCGUUAAUCGGAAUUACUGGGCGUAAAGCGUGCGCAGGCGGUUGUGCAAGACCGAUGUGAAAUCCCCGGGCUUAACCUGGGAAUUGCAUUGGUGACUGCACGGCUAGAGUGUGUCAGAGGGGGGUAGAAUUCCACGUGUAGCAGUGAAAUGCGUAGAGAUGUGGAGGAAUACCGAUGGCGAAGGCAGCCCCCUGGGAUAACACUGACGCUCAUGCACGAAAGCGUGGGGAGCAAACAGGAUUAGAUACCCUGGUAGUCCACGCCCUAAACGAUGUCAACUAGUUGUUGGGGAUUCAUUUCCUUAGUAACGUAGCUAACGCGUGAAGUUGACCGCCUGGGGAGUACGGUCGCAAGAUUAAAACUCAAAGGAAUUGACGGGGACCCGCACAAGCGGUGGAUGAUGUGGAUUAAUUCGAUGCAACGCGAAAAACCUUACCUACCCUUGACAUGCCACUAACGAAGCAGAGAUGCAUUAGGUGCUCGAAAGAGAAAGUGGACACAGGUGCUGCAUGGCUGUCGUCAGCUCGUGUCGUGAGAUGUUGGGUUAAGUCCCGCAACGAGCGCAACCCUUGUCUCUAGUUGCUACGAAAGGGCACUCUAGAGAGACUGCCGGUGACAAACCGGAGGAAGGUGGGGAUGACGUCAAGUCCUCAUGGCCCUUAUGGGUAGGGCUUCACACGUCAUACAAUGGUGCAUACAGAGGGUUGCCAAGCCGCGAGGUGGAGCUAAUCCCAGAAAAUGCAUYGUAAUCCGGAUCCUAGUAUCCAACUYGACCACGWGAAGCUCGAAUCGCUAGUAAUCCCGGAUCAGCAUGCCGCGGUGAACACGUUCCCGGGUCUUGUACACACCGCCCGUCACACCACGGAGUGGGUUUACCAGAAGUAGUUAGCCUAACCGUAAGGA